AAACGACUCUCGGCAACGGAUAUCUCGGCUCACGCAUCGAUGAAGAACGUAGCAAAAUGCGAUACUUGGUGUGAAUUGCAGAAUCCCGUGAACCAUCGAGUUUUUGAACGCAAGUUGCGCCCGAAGCCAUCCGGCCGAGGGCACGCCUGCCUGGGCGUCAUGC
rnacentral:rRNA from 1 species